ACCAUGGUCUAGCGGUUAGAACGCUGGCCUUGUAAUCCUGGGGUCUCGGGUUCGAUUCCCGGCGGU
rnacentral:tRNA from 1 species